rfam:Bosea sp. Leaf344 contig_1, whole genome shotgun sequence.
CAGGCUGUCCGGGCCCCUCUGGCGAAACCCUUCGCGAUGUCGGACCACCCUG